UACUAGUCCCGAGGAGGCCGAC
rnacentral:siRNA from 1 species